CCCUCAAACUGUUGUUUUCAAACACCUCGAAACCGGGAAAGGUUCUGUGUUUUCAUCCAAAGAGGGGGAAAAAGGAAAAUUUCACUCCAUAUAGAAAUUUUUCAUGAAAAUGGUCAUUUUGGUCAAACCAACCAAGAAAAAAAACACAAACUUUUCAUAAAAAAGUUUAGAUGAAAAAUAUUCCAACCAGCCCUGCCUGGGAGUGCGAGGCGUUUCCUGCUGCCACUGUCUGUGGCUGUGCGUGGCCAGAAGUGCCUGUUCUGUGGAGCCCACGGGAUGAGGCAAGGACGGGCAUGGGCUCUCUGCCAUCAGGACUGCUGAGCUCUGAGCCAUGGGAAAUCUCUCUCCCACAUUGUCCAGGUUUUAAAGGCCAGAUUCUCAAAUGGGCUAGGAGUUCCCCUCCUUUGAUGUGAGUGGCGGCCGGUCUUGGCCUGUUGGGAAGUCCCUCCCUAAAGGUUCCUGUCUUGUCGCUCAGAGACACCCCGCAGCCCAGUCACGCUCUGGGUGACUCACAUGGGCAGGUUGCUGGAUUUUGAACGGGGGGACGAUCGUUCCCACGUUCCAGAAACGCUUUGUAUUGGCUUUGUGCCACAGCACGAGGAAACUAAGGGGCUGCCUCAGCCAAUAGCUGCUCCGGCCAUGUCCAGCGGACGCACUCUGUGCGGGGCACGUUCGGGGUUUUCAAGGCCCGACGGGUCCAUCGUGACCAUCUAGCCUGAGCUGCUGCCAUUGCCCGAGUCAGAGGGGCUCGCGCCAUGACUCUCGCCGUGACGUGUGGUGUACCAGAGCCGGGGGCCGAGCGCUGAAUUCCAGUUAUAGUCGGAGGCCAUGGAGCAGGGCAGGAAGAACACACGCUGGAAGGAACCCGUCCCCCGACCCCUCAUCCCUGUCUUCUCUGCUACACAACAGAUCAGGCGCCGAUGGCUUUCCACAAAGAAUACAGGGAACAGAAUGAGCCCCCAUCCGCCCGACUCCAGCCCGGGACUCAGCCCGACGCAGCCUGUGAAGCCGCGGCGGAUUCAGACAGAGCGAGCCAGGGCCGGGGGGAGAGACGGACCAUGAGGGUAAGUGGCA